GCCUCCUCCGGCUCGUCGCCGGCGGGUGUGUGGGGCAGCCCUCGCCGGGAGAGAGUGUCUGCCGCAGAGCGGCCGCGGUGAUCGGUGGCGCGGGUCCGCCCACGGGCGUCUCCUCUCUCUGCAGCGGGGCUGGGGCCGUGAAACCCUGGAGGAACGCGCCGGGCGCCUCGGUUCCCUGCCCUCGAGGGCUGCCCUGAACUUGGCUCGGUGGCUUGUCGGCAGCGAACGAGGCCGCAGCACUGGGCCUGGCACGCUGCUGGGGCGGAGGAUUCGGCUGCUUGCGGAUUCGGACUGUUCCUCGACGGCCCCAGCCUGUGGGGCGGCGGUGCCCGCUGCUCCUCAAGACCGGGCCUGCCCGGUGGCGGCGAGGCGGGGGGAACCCUGGCCGCUGCAGAAGUCCGAGGCUCCCGCAGGAGAAAGCAUCCAGUUAUUCAACAACGUUGUGAUUAUGGUAGAACGCCUGUUGUGGAUCCAGCCAUUCCGGAUAAUACCAUGUUUGUUUUCAUCACAGAACCUAUGAAAUCCAAAGCUGAUGGUGUACUCAUCUGUGGUUAUUUUGCAUUGCAAAAUGUGUGCUGAAAAUGAAUUCACAUACUGUUCUGUGGAUCCCUUUGUGUUUUUUUAGCUACCACUUACAGUUAUUAGCAGACAGAAGUUUAAUAAAAAGUUAAAAGUUUAAUAAGUUUUGUGGUGGUUGCUGGCUAGAUGCAGAUGUGGCAGUGAGAAUGAUGAGGCCUGUCACAGCCUCUGCUCUGUCAGAGCGCAUCCUAUGAACUGGUGCUAAUGGGGCAGCAGUUCCCUUGAUACAUCAUCCUCUAAUUAGCACAGUGGUUCAUUUUCCUCAGACCACAGCAAAAUUAGUGUGUUUGGAUGAUGUGACUGUGAUAUCAUAGGGCUGCAGAGUGACUAGUGCUGUUAGAGCAACAAAAAAAACCAAACCAGGAGUCACUAAUUUUUUUUAGCUUUAUUGAUACAUUAGGGCUACCAGAUCUCAGCUGUACUUCCCCAGGAGUCAGGAGGAGUUGGAAGGAGUAGACAAGAGGCAGUUACAUAGUGUCAUGUCGCUUCCCCUGCCUGACCCCAGCUGGGUGCACAGAGUAGAGCAAAAGGAAAGGAUGUAGCUUAAGAAGGUUCAGUUACUUCAUUGCAAAGAUGUAUUUUUAAAAAUACCACUUUGCCUCUACAUGAGUGUCUACAGAAAGGAUUUUUCCUUUGAAACUUUCUGCCACCUCUUUCUCCUUGUGAUUUUACCUGAUGGUACAAUCUAGCCCCACAAUAAUGGGGCUCCUUUGGGAGACUGAAGGUAAAAUGGAAAAUUUGCCUGGCAGGGUUCUCAAGCUGUUGUAAAACAUUACGGUUUAGAGAAACCACAUGAGAAGAGGGUGCAGUACCUUCAUGAGUACUUGAGUUCAGGCUGCAACUCUGGUGAGCUGUGGUCUCUGAGGAGGGCUGUUGGCAGGGCAGAGCAUGGCAUUUCUUCCAGGAGGACUGCAAAUUUAUCACUUUUCACUCUUGUCUGGGUGAGAACUGGCUCAGAUCAGGCACAGUGUAGAGCCGUCUGUGUGGCAAGGGUUUCAGAAAGGGUGAGAGUACAUUUCUCAUGGUGGCAUGGACAGGAGUCUUGGGAGACUCCUGUAUGUAGCUGGCUGUCUGGCUGCCUCCAGGGAAGGCAGCUUUAUUGCUGCUGGGAUGCUGUUACUAACAUGAUACCAGGACAGCAAGUUGUCUCAGUUAAUCCUAUUUCAUAGUAUUUUUCUGUAAAUAUCAGUAGCCAAAUUACAAAAAAAAAAAAAGCCCAUGUGGGAAAUUCGGAGAUUUUUACAUGUAUUUUGAACCCAGGUAGAAAUAAUGCUGUAGUUUUGCAAAAUGAAACACAUUUAAAUGUUUUAAUUUGUUGUCAGUGUUUCAGCUUUUAUGGGAGAUUUCAUUAUGUCAUAAUCGCAUAAAUUUCAAGCUGAUGAAAUGAAAAUUGAAUGUUUCCUCACUUUCCUGUGAAAUGAAUAAAAAUGAUGAAUUUUUGUAAAAUA